rnacentral:rRNA from 1 species
GAUGAACGCUGGUGGCGUGCUUAACACAUGCAAGUCGAACGGUGAAGCCAAGCUUGCUUGGUGGAUCAGUGGCGAACGGGUGAGUAACACGUGAGCAACCUGCCCUGGACUCUGGGAUAAGCGCUGGAAACGGCGUCUAAUACUGGAUAUGAGACGUGAUCGCAUGGUCAACGUUUGGAAAGAUUUUUCGGUCUGGGAUGGGCUCGCGGCCUAUCAGCUUGUUGGUGAGGUAAUGGCUCACCAAGGCGUCGACGGGUAGCCGGCCUGAGAGGGUGACCGGCCACACUGGGACUGAGACACGGCCCAGACUCCUACGGGAGGCAGCAGUGGGGAAUAUUGCACAAUGGGCGGAAGCCUGAUGCAGCAACGCCGCGUGAGGGAUGACGGCCUUCGGGUUGUAAACCUCUUUUAGCAGGGAAGAAGCGAAAGUGACGGUACCUGCAGAAAAAGCGCCGGCUAACUACGUGCCAGCAGCCGCGGUAAUACGUAGGGCGCAAGCGUUAUCCGGAAUUAUUGGGCGUAAAGAGCUCGUAGGCGGUUUGUCGCGUCUGCUGUGAAAUCCCGAGGCUCAACCUCGGGCCUGCAGUGGGUACGGGCAGACUAGAGUGCGGUANGGGAGAUUGGAAUUCCUGGUGUAGCGGUGGAAUGCNCAGAUAUCAGGAGGAACACCGAUGGCGAAGGCAGAUCUCUGGGCCGUAACUGACGCUGAGGAGCGAAAGGGUGGGGAGCAAACAGGCUUACAUACCCUGGUAGUCCACCCCGUAAACGUUGGGAACUANUUGUGGGGACCAUUCCACGGUUUCCGUGACGCAGCUAACGCAUUAAGUUCCCCGCCUGGGGAGUACGGCCGCAAGGCUAAAACUCAAAGGAAUUGACGGGGACCCGCACAAGCGGCGGAGCAUGCGGAUUAAUUCGAUGCAACGCGAAUAACCUUACCAAGGCUUGACAUACACCAGAACGGGCCAGAAAUGGUCAACUCUUUGGACACUGGUGAACAGGUGGUGCAUGGUUGUCGUCAGCUCGUGUCGUGAGAUGUUGGGUUAAGUCCCGCAACGAGCGCAACCCUCGUUCUAUGUUGCCAGCACGUAAUGGUGGGAACU